AAGGGCCUGAGGCUGUCAGGAAUGGUGGGAGUUGAAGUCCAAAACACCUAGAAGGAGGGCCCAAGUUUGCCCGUGCCCGAUCUAAGCACUCCUGGCAAAUGGCCAUCCAGCCUCUGCUUUAAAAACCCCAGAGGAGGAGACUGUCUCACUCCGAGACAAGAUUAUUCUACGCUCAAAUAGUUUUUUUUAAAACUGUCAGGAGUUUCUUCUUAGUGUUUAAAUGAAGUUUCUUUCUUUUCCUGUCGCUUGAAUCCAUUGCUUCUUGCCCUAGUAGAGAACAAGCUCACCCCUUUCUCAGUGUGACAUCCUUCCAGAUAUUUAAACAUGGCUGGCGUUGUCCCCUUCUCUCAGGGCUCCCCUCCUCCGCGGCCUCCUUCUUUUUUCAAUAUGUUUUAUUGUAAACACAGGUAGAAUAAUAUCAAAAUCCAUCACCAUUUCAAUAUACAUAUUAAAUGUUGUUUUCUUAGUAAUCUUAACCUUGCUGAUUCCACCUUUAUCUCCCACUUGGGUAUUUCGGUAUUUCACCCCUCCUUCUAUCCCCACCCUCUGGGCCCUUCCACACAGCCCUAUAUCCCAGAAUAUCAAAUUAGAAAAUCUCACAUUCUACACAGCUGAAUAAAAUCCCACAAUUUCUGCUCUGAACUGGAAUAUAUGGCACUGUAGACUCAGAUAACCCAAUUCAAAGCAGAUAUCGUGGGAUUUUCUGCCUUGGUAUUCUGGGUUAUAUGGCUGUGUGGAAGGGCCCUAAGUGUGGGUUCAGAUAACCCAGUUCAAAGUAGAUAUUGUGGGAUUUUCUGGCGAUAUUCUAGAUUAUAUGGCUGUGGGGAAGGACCCUAAUUGUGGACUCGGAUAACCCAGUCCAAAGCAGAUAUUGUGGGAUUUUCUGCUUUCAUAUUCAGGGGUAUAGAACUGUUUGGAAGGGCCCUCAGCCUUCGUUUCUCUAAGUUAAACAUGCCCAGCUCUCUAAACCGUCUCUCCUAGGGCUUGGUUUCCAAACCUUCCACCGUCUCUGGACAAGUUCCAGCUUGUCCUCCAUGAAUUGUGCUUCCCAGAACUGGGCACAGGAUUCCAGGUGAAGUCUGACCCAAGAAGAAUAAGGGGAGAGGGUAUUACCUCUCUUCAUUUGGACAUUAUACUUCCGUUGAUACUGCCUUGAAUCGCAUUGGCUUUUCCCCCCUUUUCUUUUUUAGGGUCGAGUUGUUGUCUCUUUUUGUCUCGGGUUCAGCUUAAGAUCUCCAGAGUAUCCUAAAUCACUUUUCGCGUUCCCUGACAGAACUCCCCCUCAGUUACCUUUUCUCCCUGGCUCCAUAUGGUUGGGGCAUGACGGGCUGGGGCUGGGGGGAUGUCUUUUUAAUACCUAUGUAAUACUAUUUUUUCACCCUUCCGCCCAUAGCUCUCCCCCCUCCCCUUUUCAAUCAGUUACAAAAAAGUUUUGUGGGGUAGAAAAAGCCCCUCCGCCCUAUUUGCCUCUGUCUCCUCAGGGAGGAGCCCUAAUCUAAAAGAAGGGGGAGGGCGGCUGGUGCCGAUAUUUUUUUAAAUGGCAUUUACACAAGAAAGUCAUUUUUCUUGGUGUUGGUGCCAGCUAGUGCCUCUGGAGCUGGCCGUGACCGGAGCCAGCCGUUCCCAGAUGAGGCAGAUUCUGCUGAGCUGUCAUUUAUUUAUGGGCUUAGUUCUUCUCCCUUGCUGCGCACUCUCUCUCACUCUCUCACCCUGGAUUGUGUGUAAGAUGGACACACACACACACACACACACAUGACUGAGUUGUGUCUGGGGGAAAAGGGGGGGUGUCAACUUUUCAGGCUUUGGUUUUUUUCCUGAAAGUUUGACUUGACUUGUGUUUUUAAGCGACAAUGGCAACUAUGACAGAUUUAUUGCACAUUUUUACAAGGCUGUCAGGAAAACUGUUUUUCUUCCACCAACUUUAUUCUUGGAUAAUCCCACCCCCACCCCUUUGCCUUCUCUUCCCAUCCCUGCCAGAUGUCCUGUGAGAAAUUGUGUUAGGGCCAAGCUUCUUCUAGAGAUUGUGGUGGUGUUUUUCAUCAUUAUUAAUGAAUUAAUGUAAACUCUCUUAAACAUUUUAAUGCAUUUAUAAAAUUUGAAAAAAGAUACAGUAGGACAAAGCAUGUUUAAAUCUUGGAUAUGUUGGUCAAGCAAGGAGGAAUACAUAAGAAUGCGAAAGAAUGCAAUGGGGUUUGGGGUUUGUUUUUUACCAUUUUCCUUUUUGUUGCAUUUCAGUGGAAACUUGAGCCUUAGCUUGUGUUUGUUCAAGGCAUUUUAAAAGUGGCUGUGUCCUGUUCUGAGUCCCAGCAAAGGAGGAUUAAGGCUCUUAAUUAGCUGGUGUCUUAAUGUGGAGUUUCAAAUUAAAUGCUGCUUCUCUCUUUUCUUUUCUUUUUGACCUAAGCUCUUUUUGUUAAUAUGAUUUGUGCUGUUGUGAGAAAUCUUGAAGAAUUGUUGUUUUAAAGUAACAACCCAACGUUUUGUAGCCCAGCAGGCUUUUCUUCAAAGGACUUUCCUUGCAGUGGUUCCAGAAGCAGUCGAUAAGCCAGGAACAUACUCAGACCAGACAGAAUUUAAAUAACAGGUUGACAAACAGCAGACACUCUCCCCUAGUCACAGCAUUGCUUCCCCUGUGCCUUUUUUCAUGCUAAAAUAUGACUCAGACAUGGUUUUCCCAGAAUUGACCUCAAAUUGUGCCUUUUCCUAUGACUAAUGGUUGCUUUUCAUAAUAACUGGUUUAAACCUAAAAGAGAGUUAGUAUUCUUUAGCAUGUUUGCCUCUUCUUGUCUUUCUGGCCUAACUUUGCCUUUCUGUUAGUUAUUCAACAGAGUAUAGCCAUUCUACAUUUUGUACUGCAUAAUUAUGUAGUACACCAGCUCUUUUGUAAAAUCUGCAUGGAAAUCAUUCCCUGGGCCAAAGAUCCUUAGAAAUCAACAUGACAUUUUAGCUUUCCACUGCAUAUGGUUGUUGAGAUCCGAAAUUGCAGCUCUUGCUUGUGUGUACUUGGUUUUAAAAGGACAUACAUUUUGAGUCAAAAUGCCUAAAAGACAAGUGAUCCCUAAAGUUUAAACGAAUUAUUAGAAAUAGUCCCCCACUGUAUAUACAUACACAUACAUUCAUAAACACAUACAAAAACUAGGUUAAAUGGAAUGUAAUUAUGGUGCUUAAUAGAGUCUUGAAUCUGAGUUAAAACUUAGAUCACCAAAAUUCCUGUUCUGCGGUAAUAUUCCUUAUUUUCUGGUCAAAAGUGAUUUACACUUUUCUGAAGGUUUAAAAUAAUUACUUUUAAAUUUUGUGCUUUUCCUUCAUGGCAGGGGUGGGGAGUGGGACCUGGUAGCCCAUGUCUCUUCCAACUCUAUUAAGUUUUUAUAUAUAUUUGUGUGUACAUGUAUAUUUACAUCCAUGCAUUUGUACAUGUGCAUGCAUAUAUAUAUAUAUAUAUAUACACACACACACACACACACACACACAUAUACACACACGCCCCUUUUAAUGUAGCCUAAAAAUAAUGGCAGUGUUAUCUUUUGUAGCAUGAUAACUUAAAGUUUGUGCUGUCCUUAGUUUAAGAGCUUUUGAAAAUAAAUGUGUCUUAGAGGAAGGGUAAUUGUGAUUGCCAAAGAAAAUCAAAUGUCCUCUUGAAAGGAAGAGGUUAUCUGCAAACAUUAUUUAGAAUGUAGAAUGUCAUAAAUCAUGUUUGCAGUCCUUUCUACACUUGGCAACCAAUCCUGUGGAAACUGCUGGAGCUUUCUUCUGAGCGAGCAUAUUAUUUCUCUUUAUUUAAUAUAUCUUGCACAUAAAUGCAUGAAAUUGUACUGUAAUUUCAAGUAUUUCUCUGGAACAAACAACUGCUUAAAUGUCCAAUAUCACUGCUAUUUUCUUUGUGGUGCCCUUGAAGGCAAAGUGAAUUCUCAAAGGGAAAGGAACUUGUACAUUAUUAGAACAACUGCUUAUGGGGUCUUAAAUUAGCUGUAAAAAGUGACAGAUUUGUUUUGAGAGAAUUGAACUUUUUGCAUUAGUAAUCUGUAUCAACCUUUUUAUUGGUCAUCUUCCUAAUUUAAGCAGGAAAAUAUUUUUAAUCAAGUAGGGGAGUAGAAGAUACAGGGAAUGAUUUCUUUAAUUAUGAUUAGAAUAGGAGCUGACUUGAUACCAUUGAAGUGAGAAAUACAUGAAUGAUUUCCUGUGAAUCAAUGAAAGCAUAACAAGAGACCAUAUGGACACUGGAGCUUGUACAAUUGCUGUAGUUGUAGGUUAAAUAUUUUAGUACCUAUGACCUAGAAUAAGUAUAUGUUUGCAAAAGCUUCAGGUAUUGACAGCAUUGAUAAUGUUUUGAGUUCCACUAUAUUCUUAAUUCAUACUGUUCCAAUGAUUUAAGAAACAGUACUUUUCCAGUGUUUAUGGCCUUAAAGUUUAUGUUAAUGGGAACCUCUCACUUCAUAAUAAAUUAAUCAUUUAUAAAUACUGUAAACAUUUCUGGCAAAUACUUCCCUCCUUUCCUGGAGAAAGUGCUCUGGUGGCUUCUAAUAUUACCAUCAGGGCAUAAUUUGAACCGGAAAACAAUGUACUGUUCUAUCACCCAUACAAUAGAACUAUUUAUGGUACAAACAUACUUCAAAGCUUUUGUAUUAUUUCAUUUUAGAAGCCUAACAUCUAUCCCAGGGGUCCCCAAACUUUUUAAACAGGGGGGGCCAGUUCACAGUCCCUCAGACCGUUGGAGGGCCGGACUAUAGUUUUGUUUUUUGUUUUUUGUUUUUUUAAACUAUGAACAAAUUCCUAUGCAGUGCACACUGCACAUAUCUUAUUCUGAAGUAAAAAAACGAAACAGGAAUAAAUACAGUCUCAAUGUUAAUCAUAAUCAUAAUAAAAAUAAUAAAGAGAGUUGGAAGAGACCCCUUGGGCCAUUUAGUCCAACCACCUUCUGCCUUUGUGUACCAAAGCACUAGCAAAGCACCCCUUAAUAAUUAAUUAUUAAUUAAAUAAUAAUUAAAAUACUAUUAUAAACAAACAAAGAUUUGGAAGGCGAGGGAGGAGACGGGAAAGGUGUGUGCCUUUCCCUCCUACCCCGCGACGUACACAACUUCCUCGGCAGAAGUGGAGGGAGCUGCUGUGGGCCCUGGGCCUUAGUUUGGGGACCCCUGAUCUAUCCUUUAAAACUUCUGAGAAUUAAAAGGGAAAUUAUUUUUUUCCCUUAGUUUUUCUAAUAAAUUCAGGAUAUUUUCAUGGCAUGUUAGUGGGAAUGCCUCUAUCAACCACACCGAUUCUGUAUCUCCGUUUAAGCUGAUACUUGUGCUGUUCUAAAUAAAACCUCUUAACGUUGAUAUCACAACUAAAUACUGAGGAAUCUGGAGAGUGAAAACCAGAAUUUAAUGUGAAUAUAAAUAGCCAGUAAGAAUUUAAUGGCUAACAGAUAUUUAUAGUUUUUCUGAUUCUUGUACUGAUCUCUUGACUGUCUCUAUGUGUUAUGCUGCAGUAUUUUCUUUGUUUAAUUGUGCAUAAUCCUAUAUGGAGAAGGCAUCCAGAUAUUUGGUGUACAGAAUCCUUAAUACAUAACAAUUAGUUAUGUAUUAUCCAUUUAUAUGCAUGUCUCACAAAGACACAACUCUUGAAAAGGUAUCUGAAGGCAAUUUUGGAAAGGUUAAAGAUAAACAGGUUCAAAGAUCAUCAUCAUCAACGAUCACACAUGUCCAAAUAUGAUUGUCCUCCAAGUAUAGUGCCUUGGCAAUGUAUCUGUACGUGACUGUCAAGACCUAUUCUUCAUCCGCAGUGAGGACAUCAAUUUCCAGGUGGAAGGCGGUCCCAUUCAGGGUUGGCUUGGCAAACCUUCCUCUUGACACGUUUCUCCCUUUUGCCCUCCAUUUGUGCCUUUUCGAAUUCCAUAGCACUGUUGGUCACAGCUGAUCUCCAGUUUGAAUGCUCAAGGGCUAGAGCUUCCCAGUAGAUUCAAAGCCAAUCUGGGCAAGAUUCAGGUACUGUGAAGAGUUAAUCCCUCUGAAAGAAGACAUUUGGUCCGAGAUGAGCUUGUAGUCUUCCUGAAGGACCAAACACACACCUUGAUAAUUCUUCUUAAUUCAGUGCUGUAUUUGAAAACUCAAGUAGCAAUCAGCUCCUGUUACCAUCUUAGGGGCAUUGCUGGUUUACCAGCAUAUCUAGACAUUGACUUUGUUACUCAUGCACUGAUCACAUAUAGACUACAAUAGUGCCAUGCACCUUGGUCUGGAUUCUUUUGAAAAAGGUCCACGUACUUCAACAUGUUCAGAACAUGGUUGCCAGAAUAUUGACUAGGAUCAGGCUAUGAUGGCUUAGUGUGAUGUUACUAGAAGUUCAUAACAUUUGGAUAGAUUGGUGUUUUCCACCCUCAAGCCAUCAAUCAAAAACGGUUGUAAUGGUUAUCGAUAUAUAAAAAUUGAAAGUGCUGUUUUGGACCUUUAGAUCUUCAAAUGGUUGGAUCAAGUUAUAAAUUACUAACCACACCUGUAUGAACUUGCCUUUGCAUUCCAUUUUGUAGUGGAAAUGAUAGACUAAGUUGCCUUAAUUGUACAUCUAAAAAUAUACGAAGAGCUUUACAAAAGAUAAUACAGAUAGGCCUCUACUCAAAGCAGCUUACAAUCUAAAAAUAAAUAGAUAACAGAACAGGAAAAUACAGGAAAUAGAGGAAGAAAACAAGAACAUGCACACUAUAGGUAUACUGUUUUAUUUGUUCAAACUUCUGACAGGUUUAUUUCAUUUUGUAGACUUCCACAAACCCCAUCAGUUCAGAGUUUUUGGAAUUUUUUAUAUGAACACAAUUAAAAACAAUAAAAUAAUUAAACCCCUGCCACUGAAGCUACCCACUCUCAGUAAUCAUUUUGCAUAUUUAAAUUAUUUUGUUCUGUGUGCAUAGUUGGAUAUAAUAGGUAAACAUCUGUAUUUUAAAAAAAACACACCUGGGAAGGUGUCUAUUUUUCUUAGAAUCGGGAAUCCACUCAAACUUCUAAUCAUCUCAAUGUGUAAUGAACCCUUGAAGUAUAACCCAUCAAGUAUAAUUUCUGUAUAUGUUGUGAUUCUGAUUCAGUCGCAUUAUUUAAAUCUGUUAACUUUGCGUGGAACUAUAUGAUAUUUAGCAAUUAUUCCAUUUUAUUAGAAUAAGUAUUCAUGUCAAGGACAGAACGCCACAAGAUCAAAGAUAACAGAGUUUAUUGGAUAACAGAACUCGAAAUGCCCGUAAAAUACAAGGGCCAGGCAGUAUUAGCCUUUAAAAGCAAAAAGGGGCAAGGAAAAACGUUCAAAAGAUAAACCGGAUUAAACCGGAGUUUAAUCCGGGUAAAAACAAAACAGCUUGCUUCAGCCUGGGGAUAAACAAAACAGAAGCCGGGGAACAAAGUGUUCAAAAGAAUGCAAUUAAUUGGCAGCAGAUUCCUCUCUGCUGCCAGCACUGUGCUUUGAGUAACUUGAGUCACUCCUCCACACAGCAGGCAAGGUUUCCAAUACACACAGAUCAGCCGAGGAUUGAAGCAGUAGAGUAGACCCAGUUCCUUUCCGUAGUUCAAGCCAGAAGCAGAACUCAAGCCGUGGUCAGUUCAGUCCGAAAUCCAAAGCAGGAGAUGGCGUCCGUCAAGAAGACGACGGAAGGUCAAAGCUAAUGAGAUUAAGCACAAGUUUGCACAAACAAAAGCCCACACAAUUCCUCCCGCCGUCUGACCCCAAAUUCCAAAACAACUUACGUAUCAGCACACGAAAACACACCAGUCUUCAGGAAAGCGUCCCACACAGAUCCCAAGCGUUCGUCCAGAUUACCUUGCCCAACGCAAUUUGCAAUUGCUCCCAAGCCUCAUUUUAUGCCAGUUACAAAUCCUCAUCACUAUCAGCUGCCCUCCUUAACCCGGGCGUUUCCUCAUCACUUUCCUCAUCAGAGCUGGAACACCUCUGACUACGCCCCACAGCAUCCCCAGCUGUGGAUCCCGUCCCAUCCCUCCAGCUUGUCCAUGGGUCUAAUCCUGAAGGUCCCCAUUCAUCUUCCAUCCCAUCAUUGCCAGUGGCACCCAAUUCCUCCCUCACCCGAGUCCAAUCCAUCUCAUCCUCCUCCGAGCUAACCAGCCCCUCCUCCAUUCUCUCCGUAAACCCCUCAAAAGACUCUUCGUCAGAUGGUGCUGCAAAGAUAUCUCGCAGUCUCUUUCUUUCUCGCUCCUCGAGAGUAUCUGACUCUCGAGGAGUCUUACGCCCAUGUCUGCCAGUAACAGAGCCAUGAGGCUCAAUCAUAACAAUUCAUUUAUUUAAUGUACAACAUUCCUUUCUCCCAAUACAGAAUCUAAAGUGUUUUAUAAUUUGAGUUACAUAGAGUUAAAACUGAUAGUUCAAAAAUUAAGCAAUUAUAUUAAAACAUUAAUUUAGAACAGUUUUCAAAAAGAGAAUUAACAUUAUAUAAUGAUGAAAAUACAAAGAACGUACCACAGUUAAAUGCAAAAUUCAGUUAUCACUCAAAAGCCCGGAUGAACAUAAAUUUAUUCACCUGACUGUGCAGAGAAAGCAGAACUAUCUUGUGGGAAGGGAUUCCACUCUUUGGGAAUUGGCACCAAGAUUUUUUUUAAUAUGCUUUUCUCCUUUCCAUGAAUCACAAUAACAAUGGUUCACCUUUUCUUUGUAAAAUAUAUUACCCUAUUUUCUGUUUUUUCCAGAAAUUUGGGGAAUGCAAUAUUAGACUAAUACACAUUAAAUACCUCAUAAAAAUAGAAUUAAAGCAACCACAAAAACAGUCAUUAGAUUCCCCACACACAAAAAACCCCUAAUACAAAGUCUAGCUGUCUCCCAUGAUAUAAAUGUUUUAAUAAUAAUAAUAAUAAUAAUAAUAAACUUUUAUUUAUAUCCCACCACCAUCUCCCAGAGGGGACUCGGGACGGCUCACAGAUGUGACAUGCAAAAUGGAACAAGUACAAAACAAAAUAUAGACAAUAAACAGUCAACACAACAUCAUAAAUUGACAGUACCCUCUGGUAAAAACAAUAAAAUACAGCAAUUGCUGUAGAUAAAACAGCAGUAUUCAAUCCUAGAAUUGUAAAGUGUUAAUAAAGAAUCUAAGGGUCUUCAUAUGUAUUAUUAGAGAGUCUAAACAUGCCCUAUUCCUUGAGAGAGAUAUAUAUUGUAUUGUUUUUACCACCAUUCAAUGUUUUGAGUCUCUUUAAGAGAAAAAAGGUGUUAUAUAAAAAUAUUACUACUACUUCUACCAAUCUAUAUAUAUAAAAGGAUAAAGUUGCGGGCGCAGUGACUAUAACAACAAAACUAAACAUCCCACAAAUACGAAACUUGGCAACGCAAUGCAAAAGCCUUGCCUUCCGGUUACAACAACACAACCACACCACAAAACCACAAUCCGGACCCACAAAACUCACAACAACACAUCAUGACUAUAACAACACAACUAAACGCCCUAGAAAUACAAAACUUGGCAACACAACGCAAAACCCUUGCCUCCCGGUUGUAACAACACAAUCACACCACAAAACCACACUGGACCCACAGAACUCACAACAAUGCAUCAUGACUAUAACAACACAACUGAACACCCCAGAAAUACGAAACUUGGCGACACAACGCAAGAGCCUUCCCUCCCAGUUGUAACAACACAACCACACCCCAAAACCACAAUCCGGACCCAUAAAACUCACAACAAUGCAUUGUGACUAUAACAACACAACUAAAUGCCCCAGAAAUACGAAACUUGGCACACAACUAAAUGCCCCAGAAAUACAAAACUUGACAACACAACGCAAAAGCCUUUCCUCCCAGUUGUAACAACACAAUCACACCACAAAACCACAAUCCAGACCCACAAAAUUCACAACAAUGCAUCAUGACUAUAACAACACAAUUAAACGCCCCAGAAAUACGAAACUUGGCAAAACAACGCAAAAGCCUUGCCUCCCGAUUGUAACAACACAAUCACACCACAAAACACAAUCCGGACCCACAAAACUGAAAAAUUGAACAAGGUAACAGACUUCCAAUACUACUACUAAUGUGAGUAUAAAGAAGGGUGGAGGUCACAGCAUAAAUACAACCUAAUGUAGACUGACCAACACCACCAGACUAAGCCACAGCAACGCGUGGCCGGGCACAGUUAGUAUAUAUAUAUAUAUAAAGGUAAAGUUAUUUGCACCAUGACUAUAACAACACAACUAUGCACUCCAGAAACACCAAACUUGACAACACAACGCAAAAGCCUUGCCUCAAGGUUCAUACAACGCAACCGAACCCCCAAAACGGAACCGGGACCCACAAAAACCGCUCUAGUAAGAAAACAGAACAACAUAAUCUCUAAAAUCUCUAAAAUCAGGACAAUAAAUACAAAUCAACACUCACAAGACGGGAGAAUUCCAGACAGGAAACAAUCAGACCCAGCUAACACCUCCCAACAAAGAAUUCCCUCAUCCAGCCAGGCCUCGAACCUGCAAGGCCAUUCAAUGCUAAUCGAGGUAACUAAUUCCAAUAUUCAUGCCUCCUGCACUCGGACUAUUCGUUGCUAUUCGACCUGGCCAAGCAACAAUUCCACAAGGUAGAAAGCGGUCAGGCUUUUAAGCUGCAAGACUAUUCACCAGAAUAUACCCUACAUGGAUAACCCUCAGGUUUGUAAGCCAUUAGGCCACUCCACCCCAUCCAACCAGCCCAAGCAAAGAGGCCCUUAUAUAGAAACUGCCCAGGCUUAGAAGCGCAAAGGCUAUUCAGUGCAAUUCCAAUUGGCCACAGCAACGCGUGGCAGGGCACAGCUAGUAAUAAUAAUAUAUUCCAUAUGCUUAGUAAAGGUAAAGGUUUCCCCUGACAUUAUGUCCAGUCGUGUCCGACUUUGGGGGGUUGGUGCUCAUCUCCAUUUUUAAGCUGAAGAGCUGGCGUCCAUAGACACCUCCAAGGUCAUGUGGCCAUCAUGACUGCAUGGAAUGCUGUUACCUUCCUGCCGGAACGGUACCUAUUGAUCUACUCACAUCUGCAUGUUUUUGAACUGCUAGGUUGGCAGAAGCUGGGGCUAACAGCGGGCGCUCACUCCGCUCCCCAGGUUUGAAUCUGAGACCUUUCGGUCUGCAAGUUCAGCAGCUCAGCGCUUUAACACACUGAGCCACCGGAGGCUCCACUUCAUAUGCUUACAUGUGGGCAUUUCCAAAGUCCACAGUUUACAUGAGCUAUUUCUCUUCACUCUUAUUGCAACAACAACCUCACACUGAUCUUAAAUAUCAGGAGGAUUGUGUAGUUGAGCAUGAGGUCUGUAAUGGAGAGGCGUGAGACGUUUUUGUUGUGUAAGCUUUCUUGCAUUCUCCAUGCUAAGCACCACCCACCAUGUUUAAUGCUAAAAUACAUUUCGAGAGCAAUCCUGAACUUCAGGAAAGUUUUAUUGUAGAAAAAGAAAGCUUUGUUGACCUCUCUGUCCCAUUGUGUCUGCUCUAGCAGCAGGAGUGAAAAGGGGCACGUUGAGAUAGAUUGCCAGAGGCUAAUUCAAAAGUAACUCUGAUCUCCGCUUCAGUAUUAUGUGAAUGGAUCCCAGAUUUGACACUCUGCUGUUUGGUGUAAUGUACAAAUCCAGAUAAUCUGGGGUUAGUCAUAACUGAGAAUGGGUGAAUCAUUCUUUUUCUGAUACAUAUCAUAUUAAAUGUACUUCAUUAUAAGUGUGUACAUUUUCUACAUUGGUCUGUGCAUUUAAAAUCCACAUUUAUUUUGUUUGCAAUAUUCCUUAAUAACAAAAUUGUAUACAAUUAUCUACAAUACCCAUUUUCGUAAACAUGUAAUUAUGUUGCUGAAACGAUAGCUGUGCACUAAUCUAUAAGAAAGGUAAAUUUAUUUUAAAUAGAAACCAAACCAAACUAGUUUUUAUUUUAAACUAGGGUCUAAUCUUAACCAGGAUUUGAUAAAAUGAGUCAAAUUCUACCAUGGUUUAUGAGCAUGGCUUGUUUCAAUAAACACAGUUCAAAAAUUAUCCACAAUUUGUUCAGGUUUAGUUUGGGACAAUGGUUUAUUGAAAACAUAAGAAAAUGUUUCUUGUGUCAUUGUUGUGAUUCUCCUAGGAAUGAAGUACUUGAGUCUACCUACCUACUUCUGGGUAUUGGUUGAACAUUAUAUUUGAGCAGUGAAACACUUACCAUAUGUUCUAACAUGCCAUAAUGGUGAAUUCUGAUUUUAGCCAAAUGUUGGAAUAUGCUGUUUGAGCAGUUGGGAUAAUAUAGCUUCUAACUUAGGAUUUCAGAAGGGAAGAAAUGCAAACACGUAGGAAGAAGUUCUCUUUUUUAAAAGUUACCAUUCUAUAAUUGAUUUUGUGCCAUAGUGAAUCAGAAAAUCUAAAAUACUUGUUCAUCUACAGCUUGACCAGUUUUUUUUUUAAGUAGCCUUAAUUUUUUUCCAGCAAGGUAUAGGCAGUAAGUAGUUAAAAAGAAACUCCUAAGCUAAUUUGUUUCAAAGACAGCAUCAAAAAUCAAAUAAGGAUAUAUGUAUUUGAUGUGCUUGUUUCUAUUUAAGUAUUUGUUUAUAGUCUCUCGGCACACCAGUGUCCCUAAGGUAUAUAUAACAAAUAAAAACACACACAAAACACAAAAAUACUUUGUAAAAACUAACUAAAACAAUUUCAAAAUACGCAUACAUAAAACAAAAUCCAUAUAUUAUCUGCACCGGAGAAGUUGAAAUAUCAUAAGUUUCAUUUAUAUAAAAUACUUAAACAGUGUUUGGCUAUAGAGUAUAGGCAUUCUUUGGAGUAUUACCUCUACUUUUCGUAAUGGUCUCCAACUGAAAAAGUAAAAUUUACCUUGCAUGAUUCACCCAAUAACAUAUUUUAGAAUGAGUUAAGUAUGCCUCUUCUGUUAUUUUCUGCGUGUGGUGCAAAACAUGUUAAAAUGUCCUUACAAUGAAGCCUUUCAUUCAACUUUAUUGGAUUUGGAUAAUUUCCAGGAUUUUAAAUCAGUCAUAGAUUUUCUUGUAGCAAAACAAAUUUACAUAGCACUCAGUUUUUAGUUUGGAUAUAUUAAAUUGGCCUGAUAAUUUUAUCCUGAUUAGUUAGAACCAUACAUCCAUCAGCUAGGGAUGGGACUUCUCAAUUUCCUCACUUCCCAACAGAUGUUGAGGAAAAGAUAUUGAUAUUAAAACAAUUGGGAUUGUUUCUCAUAACAGGCAGAAAAUUCAUUGUAGCAUGUUUUGUGUGUGUGUGUGUGUGUGUGUGUGUCAGGAGCGACUUGAGAAACUGCAAGUCGCUUCUGGAGUGAGAGAAUUCGCUGUCUGCAAGGAUGUUGCCCAGGGGACGCCCAGAUGUUUUGCUGUUUUACCAUCCUUGUGGGAGGCUUCUCUCAUGUCCCCGCAUGGAACUGGAGCUGAUAGAGGGAGCUCAUCCGCGUUCUCUCCGGGUGGGAUUCGAACCUGGCAGCUUGCAGAUCAGCAGCCCAACCUUCAAGUUGCAAGGCUUUAACCCACUACUCCAUUGGGGGCUCCACUGUAGCAUGUUUAAAAACUCGGUUUUCAAGAAACUCACACAGUUUUAUCCAUUACUAUACAAAAUUCAGAAAAAAACACUGCACUGUUGUAGAUUUGCCUCUGGAGAUGAGUGUUUCAUUUUGUGCAACGUUUUGAGAAGGAAGAACAAAAUAGCACAGGAAUCAAUGGCUUAGAUGCCAGGAAUUAAUAAAGAAAUGUAUAUUGUAUAUGGACAUUUUGGGACUAGUUUUCUCAUCUUGCCUGAUAGAAGGACAAAGAUGUUUAACAAAAAUCACCAUCAGUUUCCUUUCAACCUUUUGUCUAAGGUACCUCAAGCAAUGGAUUCCCUGGGCUCUGAAUCUGCACGCCCCUUUUUUCUUGACCCUACCAUAUAGGUAAAGGUUUUCCCCUGACGUUAAGUCCAGUCAUGUCUGACUCUGGGGGUUGGUGUUCAGCCGAAGAGCCGUCGUUGUCCGUAGACACCUCCAAGGUCAUGUGGCUGUAAUGACUGCAUGGAGCGCCGUUACCUUCCCGCCGGAGCGGUACCUAUUGAUCUACUUACAUUGGCAUAUUUUUGAACUGCUAGGUCCCGGGCCUUGAACCUGGGACCUUUCGGUCUCCAGCUCAGUGCUUUUACAUACUCUGCCACCGGGGCCCCCAGAGGUGGUGCUGGUGCUUUCCCCUCUCCAUGAAAUUACCCACGACUUAUCCAUAGGACAUGGGGGAAAAUUGCCCCCAAACUUGCCUUCAGCUUGUACAUAAGUAUAUACUGUACCUACUUUGAUAUCCCAAUUCAUUUUGUCCUUGUUCAUUCACUUCUUACCAACCAAGGCUGUUUAUUUUCUGCCUCAUUCUUGACUGGUAUUUAUUUAUUUAUGCAACUGGCUCCCUGAACUUUGGGCUUUGAGUCUGUGCUCCCCUUAUAUCUUGAUGUGCCUUCCUACUCGGAUUCCCAGAUCAUUUCCCAGAUACCUUUUCAUCCUUAAUAAUGGGCUUCAUCCCUGCCAGGGUUGCUCUACUCCUGCUGCCCCUUGGCUGUUGUUGUUAUUUAUACCCCACUUUUAGCUCUUGAUUAAGACACAAAACCAUGGUGGGGAUGAGACAGCAUCUGGGAAAUCAUCUGGGAAUCAGAGAAGAUAUCCAAGUCAAGAUAGAAGGGGACCACAUAUUUAGAGCCCAGAGAGUUCAUAAAGAAAGUUGCACAGGAGAACAACAACCUUUCCGGGGAUGAAGUGAAUUGGAGAAGAAAAUGAUUAAGAUACAUAACUUUAGGAUUUGGCAUUCAAGGAAUGUUCUACUCUUUUCUCCCCUUUUUCAAUAUUGAAUCAUUCAGAUGCUUAUCAAAAUUACCCAGUUUUAGCUAGUAUAGUACACAGCUUUGCCUUGGUAAGCUGUGCUGUAUUCCAACUGUGCAGCAUUUAAGCCUGCAAACUUGACAAUAUUGUGCCGGUUUGCUAGGCCAAGAACAAUAAAAAGGUUCCAGCGAUUUAUAGGAACUUUCCAAGCAUUCGGUUUGUUUAUUCCUGUCAGUUUUCUCGAGUGAUUGGGAACACCAAAUUUUACUACAUUUCAGAAAUUGUUGAAUUCCCGUUCUAUCCCAUUCACUAUUAAAAUAGAGUAUGCUUAAUUUAUUGUAAAGAGUACCUGUGAAAAGUAAAUUAGAUAAGUUCUGUUUGUCUUUAUGUGAAAUCUUAUUCUUUUCCAGCCAA